CCUACGGGGGGCUGCAGUGGGGAAUAUUGGACAAUGGGGGGAACCCUGAUCCAGCCAUGCCGCGUGUGUGAAGAAGGCCCUCGGGUUGUAAAGCACUUUCAGUGAGGAAGAACGCCUGGUGGUUAAUACCCAUCAGGAAAGACAUCACUCACAGAAGAAGCACCGGCUAACUCCGUGCCAGCAGCCGCGGUAAUACGGAGGGUGCGAGCGUUAAUCGGAAUUACUGGGCGUAAAGCGCGCGUAGGUGGCUUGAUAAGCCGGUUGUGAAAGCCCCGGGCUCAACCUGGGAACGGCAUCCGGAACCGUCAAGCUAGAGUGCAGGAGAGGAAGGUAGAAUUCCCGGUGUAGCGGUGAAAUGCGUAGAGAUCGGGAGGAAUACCAGUGGCGAAGGCGGCCUUCUGGACUGACACUGACACUGAGGUGCGAAAGCGUGGGUAGCAAACAGGAUUAGAUACCCCUGUAGUC
rnacentral:rRNA from 1 species